rnacentral:rRNA from 1 species
AGUGGUGAACUCCACAUACGCAUCCUUUGCUGAGGAUACGGUUAACGGAGCGAAAGCGACGUUCAACCGCAAAAGAAGCAGAGGGGGCUUAGUGGUGGGGUGACUGCGUACCUUUUGUAUAAUGGGUCAGCGACUUAUAUUCUGUAGCAAGGUUAACCGAAUAGGGGAGCCGGAGGGAAACCGAGUCUUAACCGGGCGUUAAGUUGCAGGGUAUAGACCCGAAACCCGGUGAUCUAGCCAUGGGCAGGUUGAAGGUUGGGUAACACUAACUGGAGGACCGAACCGACUAAUGUUGAAAAAUUAGCGGAUGACCUGUGGCUGGGGGUGAAAGGCCAAUCAAACCGGGAGAUAGCUGGUUCUCCCCGAAAGCUAUUUAGGUAGCGCCUCGUGAAUUCAUCUCCGGGGGUAGAGCACUGUUUCGGCUAGGGGGCCAUCCCGGCUUACCAACCCGAUGCAAACUGCGAAUACCGGAGAAUGUUAUCACGGGAGACACACGGCGGGUGCUAACGUCCGUCGUGAAGAGGGAAACAACCCAGACCGCCAGCUAAGGUCCCAAAGUCAUGGUUAAGUGGGAAACGAUGUGGGAAGGCCCAGACAGCCAGGAUGUUGGCUUAGAAGCAGCCAUCAUUUAAAGAAAGCGUAAUAGCUCACUGGUCGAGUCGGCCUGCGCGGAAGAUGUAACGGGGCUAAACCAUGCACCGAAGCUGCGGCAGCGAACGUAUCACUUAAAGCGAUUCAGCGGGUUACGAUUGACGGAGCGAAGCGACGUCAAAGCGUAUACAAAGUCGAGUCGGUUUAAGGAUACGUUCGUUGGGUAGGGGAGCGUUCUGUAAGCCUGUGAAGGUGGCCUGUGAGGGUUGCUGGAGGUAUCAGAAGUGCGAAUGCUGACAUAAGUAACGA